rnacentral:lncRNA from 1 species
ACACCCAGCAAUCUCCCAACCAUAAGACUGCAGCAGCCGAGUGCGCGACCCAAGGCGUCGCCGCCAGUAGACCGGCGCCCCACAGUUGACACCCUCCUUCGAGUUCACGCAUCCCAGCCGCCGACUCCCAUUGCAAUCGGGUGUGGGUAUGAGUUAUGGUUAGGGGUAAAUUAGCUUAAGAAUUACGUGGGUUGGGUUAUUGAUUAUUAGUGGGUUUGGGUUAAUUGGUUUAAUAAUUAAGUGGGUUGGUUUAUUAGUUAACAAUUAGGCUUGGGCUAAAUUUCAAUUGGGCUGAUUUAUUUGUACCAAUUAGGUUGGGCUUAAUUUCAAUUGGGAUUGGGCUUGAUUGAUAUUUUGAUUGUAAUUUAGGCCCAAAUUUGUGAAAUGGGCUCAUUUAUUAUUUUGUUAUUCUGAUUUUGUGUUAUNNNNNNNNNNNNNNNNNNNNNNNNNNNNNNNNNNNNNNNNNNNNNNNNNNNNNNNNNNNNNNNNNNNNNNNNNNNNNNNNNNNNNNNNNNNCUAGUCAAUGAUUUUUGCAACUUUCUAGUUAAUUGUCUCCCUAUAAUUCCACAUUUUUCUUCAAAUGAACCAGUUUGGACUUGUCACAAUAAGGUAUAAGCACAAAAAACUGUUUGCGAAAACGAAAGAAAUAAUACCAACUCAAAUCUUGGGCCAACAAGCAAAUGGAUUCAGCACACUGCAUUUUACAUAUUUCAUUUGUGGUGAAAUAAGUUAGGAUGUCCAAGAGUCAAAGUUAAUGAAGUCAUGGUCACAUGAACUUCACCAAUCAGUUCUCUGAAACACCCACAGUAAUUCGCUACAAAUAGUCAAGAUAGCUUUGUAGAUUUGAAUUUUAGCAUCGUGAUACAUCCUUGUCAUGUACACAUAUGGCACUAAGCCAGUUGCAUGAUACUCAGAGCCAUAUCCCAUAUGUAUUGAAGCUAAACCUUAUUAAGAUUUUUUUUUUCUUUUUUUUUUUUUUUUUUUUUUUUUUUUUUUUAAAAAAGAACAUUUUUGAAGCUAAACCCUAUUAAGAUUUUUUUUUUAUAAAGAAGAGCAUUGCCACGAGUUCUUGAGGGGGAGUUUACAUUGGUGUUCUGUCAACAUAUGCAUCAUAACUCUUUAAUUUUCAUUUUCAGUUUGAUACAUAUUUCAAUAGUAGACAAAGUAGCACAAAAUCCACUGGCAACAAAAUCUAGCCAUUAUUUACCAAUUAAGACAAUUUCAAAAUUUCAUGUACCAAUACAAAUUCGUUUACUCUAGAAAAAUUUCAUUAAAAUGAUGAAUCUUUCUUUCUUCAUACAAACAUUAUGUGCAAAUCUUCAUAGACUACUUAUAUUCAUCACAAAAGGACUCUAUUUGAUUAACUCCUCAACAAUUUAAAUUAGUAGGACAAAUUGCCUGCAUUUGAUAAUUAGACAGAAUUUUCGUUCCAAUUCAAUGCACUUGAAUCUUACAAUUCAUUUCAAUUUACAAAUACCUAGGAAUUAUGUUAGUAAACUUUAUUUAAAACUAUCUCAAAUUGAACAAAUUUUCACCUUUUUCAAUAUAAGAAAAGGGUAAUUAUAUUACCACUACAAAAUUUAAUAACUACACCACAUUAUAAUCACACCACAAAUAAAAUAGAUUUUUAAUAAAUACACCGUAAAUGAACUGAAAUUUCAAUUGAAUUCGAACCCUAGUUUUACCAAUAACCCAAUUUAAACUUCACAUUAUUUCCCAGUAAAUUGAUAGCAAAAAAAAAAAAAACCAAUAAACGACCUAAAAGCUAUCCAUGUGCUAACUUCGACCGUCAGGUUAGUGGGUUCACGGUUGAUGGCUGAUUGAGGGGGGUAAUUUGGGGGAGAAGGCGGUAUGGUGGACAGAGCAGGAAGAAAUCGAAGCAAGGAAAAGGAAGCAUCUGCAGAUGGGGGCUGAGGCACCAGGCGAAGUCGUUCGUGGAGAGAAUGCAGAUGGUGGCUGUGAAUUGAGAGUGAUGGAGAACCACUGUGUUGUUGUUGAUGGGGAAAAUGAAACGGUACAUAGAGAAGCAAGAGGCGAUGGGGAAAAGGAAACGGGAGAG